rnacentral:rRNA from 1 species
GACGUAGGGGGCCAGCGUUGUUCGGAAUCACUGGGCGUAAAGGGUGCGUAGGCGGGUUUUUAAGUCAGGGGUGAAAUCCUGGAGCUCAACUCCAGAACUGCCUUUGAUACUGAAAAUCUUGAGUCCGGGAGAGGUGAGUGGAACUGCGAGUGUAGAGGUGAAAUUCGUAGAUAUUCGCAAGAACACCAGUGGCGAAGGCGGCUCACUGGCCCGGUACUGACGCUGAGGCACGAAAGCGUGGGGAGCAAACAGG